UGAGGAAUAUUGGUCAAUGGGCGAGAGCCUGAACCAGCCAAGUAGCGUGAAGGAUGACUGCCCUAUGGGUUGUAAACUUCUUUUAUAAAGGAAUAAAGUCGGGUAUGGAUACCCGUUUGCAUGUACUUUAUGAAUAAGGAUCGGCUAACUCCGUGCCAGCAGCCGCGGUAAUACGGAGGAUCCGAGCGUUAUCCGUAGUUAUUGGGUUUAAAGGGAGCGUAGAUGGAUGUUUAAGUCAGUUGUGAAAGUUUGCGGCUCAACCGUAAGAUUGCAGUUGAUACUGGAUCUCUUGCGUUCAGUUGAGGCAGGCGUAAUUCUUAGUGUAGCGGUGAAAUGCUUAGAUCUCACGAAGAACUCCGAUUGCGAAGGCGGCCUGCUAGGCUUCAACUGACAUUGAGGCUCGAAAGUGUGGGUAUCAAACAGGAU
rnacentral:rRNA from 1 species